rnacentral:tRNA from 1 species
UCGCGGGGUAGAGCAGCGUGUAGCUCGCCAGGCUCAUAACCUGGAGGUCGCGGGUUCAAAUCCCGCCCCCGCUAU